AUUGAACGCUGGCGGCAGGCCUAACACAUGCAAGUCGAACGGUAACAGAAAGCAGCUUGCUGCUUUGCUGACGAGUGGCGGACGGGUGAGUAAUGUCUGGGAAACUGCCUGAUGGAGGGGGAUAACUACUGGAAACGGUAGCUAAUACCGCAUAACGUCGCAAGACCAAAGAGGGGGACCUUCGGGCCUCUUGCCAUCGGAUGUGCCCAGAUGGGAUUAGCUAGUAGGUGGGGUAACGGCUCACCUAGGCGACGAUCCCUAGCUGGUCUGAGAGGAUGACCAGCCACACUGUAACUGAGACACGGUCCAGACUCCUACGGGAGGCAGCAGUGGGGAAUAUUGCACAAUGGGCGCAAGCCUGAUGCAGCCAUGCCGCGUGUAUGAAGAAGGCCUUCGGGUUGUAAAGUACUUUCAGCGGGGAGGAAGGGAGUAAAGUUAAUACCUUUGCUCAUUGACGUUACCCGCAGAAGAAGCACCGGCUAACUCCGUG
rnacentral:rRNA from 1 species